GGGGAGCAGGUGCGAUGGGGACGGAAGCCGGAUCUUGAGAUGGACUGCUGUCUUCACUCAGAAAGCUGGUGUUGUACCAGUUAUGUGGAGUUUCAUCUCCAAAUAUAUUAAAGGAAAUAGACCUAAACAAACUAAUUUAAAAGAGCCAACCAGGAGGGUGGACACCAGAACGGCCAGAAAGGCAAGGACAGCCACCCAGAGUCUGGAUAAUUUUACUUUGUUGUUUAUUUGUUUUUGUCUCUCCAUAUUUCAGUUAGCGUUUCUCUUUUGUUUGGACAUUUUCUUGUGUUUGUUGUCCUGUCCUUUGCGGACACUAAUAAAGGAAAAGAAAAUAACUUGUGGAAAAUCA